UACGUAGGGCGCAAGCGUUGUCCGGAAUUACUGGGCGUAAAGAGCUCGUAGGUGGUUUGUCGCGUUGUCCGUGAAAACUCACAGCUCAACUGUGGGCGUGCGGGCGAUACGGGCAGACUGGAGUACUGCAGGGGAGACUGGAAUUCCUGGUGUAGCGGUGGAAUGCGCAGAUAUCAGGAGGAACACCGGUGGCGAAGGCGGGUCUCUGGGCAGUAACUGACGCUGAGGAGCGAAAGCGUGGGGAGCGAACAGG
rnacentral:rRNA from 1 species